GCAAGAGCGAGGUGGCUGCGAGGAGGCGUCACUGAAAGCCCUGACUUGGGGAAGGCUGCGGGCUCGGAGCCGGAGACGCCGAGCUGGGGCCGGGUGAGUUGGGAAUCAGACUCUUGAGUUGACAGCUGGCCUAUGGUUUCUGCAUUUUGUUAAGAAGCACCUCAUGCAAGCGAGGGACCUGGGACUGCUCACAGCCAGGUGGCAUUUUUCUGAAGUUGUUCAUUAAGACUUCCCAGCAUUCCUACAGAUAUAAAUAGACAUUCUGUCCAAUAUGAGAAUAAAUACAGAAGUAUGGCUGGGCACGGUGACUGACGCCUGUAAUCCCAGCACUUUGGGAGGCUGAGAUGGGCAGAUCACUUGAGAUGAGGAGUUCCAGACCAGCCUGGCCAACAUGGCAAAACCUCGUGUCUACCAAAAAUACAAAAAUUAGCCGAGCCUGGUGGUGGGAACCUGUAAUCCCAGCCAUUCAGGGGGCUGAGGCAAGAGAAUUUCUUGAACCCGGGAGGCGGAGAUUGCAGUGAGCCGAGAUCAUGCCACUGCACUCCAGCUUGG
rnacentral:lncRNA from 1 species